rnacentral:rRNA from 1 species
AUUGAACGCUGGCGGCAGGCCUAACACAUGCAAGUCGAACGAGAGGGGGACGGGUGAGUAAUGUCUGGGAAACUGCCUGAUGGAGGGGGAUAACUACGGGAAACUGUAGCUAAUACCGCGUACCAUCGGAUGUGCCCAGGUGGGAUUAGGUAGUUGGUGGGGUAAAGGCUCACCAAGGCGACGAUCCCUAGCUGGUCUGAGAGGAGGACCAGCCACACUGGGACUGAGACACGGGCCAGACUCCGACGGGAGGUAGCAGUGGGGAAUAUUGGACAAUGGGGGUAAUCCUGAUGCAGCCAUGCCGCGUGGAUGAAGAAGGCCUUCGGGUUGUAAAGUACUUUUGGCGGGGAGGCGGUACCCGCAGAAGAAGCACCGGCUAACUCCGUGCCAGCAGCCGCGGUAAUAC